CGCCUUACGCUUCUCCCCAUCCCUGAACCAAUCGGGCUUGCUACGUCGCUCGCAACGACGACCGCGCUAGUUUGACGUUUUCGUUACAAUCGAGUGGGCGACGAGUGAGGGAACGGCACGAUUGCAGCAGCACAGCAGUGGCAAGCAGGCGAUUUUGCUUCACGCGUGUGGUGCGCGCGCGCGCAAACUCGUGACUACGGCCGGCCCAGCAGCGACGACGAUUUUCUUCCCUUCACGAGCGACAACUGUUAUACUACCGUUCGCCGUCUCAUCUGUAUGUCUUGCGUACGCCCCUAUAGUCACCGAUUUUCCAUGAAUGUAUCAAUUCUGAGAUAUCAAUAUUGAGAUACAGGUCUUUUUGGGGAGUCAAGAUAUCAAUGAUGUUAACAUUGUCUUCCCGCAGCUGCUGGUAAUGCAAAUAUUCUUCCUUGAUCUCAAGUCUGCAAGAUGGUUCUCGUCGUCCAGUUUCAAUUUUAGCUGAGAAUAAUACAGAAAUGUGAGCAGUGACUGUGCAUAUUGACAAAAUAGCACAGAGCAUUCCCUCUUACAUCAUUUAUGAAUAAAGCGAAACGAAAUCGGCCCAGCUUGGUGGUAAUGCGGGGAUGUGGAUCUGCUUCGACCCGAUAGGAAGCCGAGUAGGCUGGGGUAUUUCCAUUUCGUUCGUCGCGCUCCUGUACUGGACGUCCAUCACCAUUGAUGCCAGCCUGACGAAUGCGGCUGCGUCCAAUGUCCCUCGUAGCACCGUCACGUCGGAUGUAUCGCUACCAGCUUCGGCACACCACGACAACGACGAAUGCAGGAAUGUGACCACUGACAAUAGAGAGGGUACUGGACUGUCAGUGGUCAGCCAUGGAUCCGGUUAUCCUCAUUCGCCGAUAGUGCCUCCAAACUUUCUGUACGGAGCUCUUACCUGCCAACCCUACCAAGGAAUUUACGUGAACCACAUCUAUUUUCAACUCGCAAAUGCCUUCUUCCUAUUGUCACACCUUGCACCGAGCGGCAUACAUGGUGUACUCUAUUUAAGGUGCACUCUACUCGUGGGCUGUGCCUUUCUUGCUUUGUGGGGCUGGACAAUAGCUUGCUGGCUGGACGCUGCUCUCUGGAAUGCUCUCUUUGUUGCCAUCAACUUCGUCCAUGUAUGCACGCUUCUUUACAAGCUCAGGCCUAUCAAGUUUACAAGGGAAAUCGAAGAGGUAAGGGAAGAUCAGGUGUACAUAGCAGUGUUCCAGCCGUUACGUGUGUCCCGUCAUCAAUUCAGAAGAGUAUUAAAUUGCAUGAAGGUCAUUCGUCAGUUGAAGUAUCAAGAAGUUUAUGCACAAGAAAAAGUGACCAAAGUCGAUUCUUUAUCAUUGGUGCUGUCGGGAAAAUUAGUUGUCUCGCAAAAUGGAAGAGCAUUACAUAUUGUCUUCCCACAUCAGUUCCUGGAUUCCCCAGAAUGGUUUGGUGUCUCGACAGAUGAAUACUUCCAGGUGUCAAUAACAGCUAUGGAGGAGUCAAGGAUAUUAUUAUGGCAUAGGGAUAAACUAAAAUUAAGCAUAAUUAGCGAUCAAUUCCUGCAGGCAGUGUUUGAUCACAUUCUGGGCAGGGAUGUAGUUAAGAAAUUGAUGCAGGUUAGUGAAACGAUGGCUGCUAGCACUCAUCAGCAGCAGAACGGACAGAUAAUUGGUUUAGGUGGAAUUGGAGCCUUAGAAAAUGACGCUGAUACAAAACUUUUUGUUGUAAAGAAGACUGGUGACAGUCAAGGCAUUACUGCUCUCAUCAGUCGUCAACUUCAAGAAGAGAGAAUGCCGUUGCUGUACACGACGCAAGAAGUGCUGAACAAUACCUUACACCAUACGAACUGCCCACACGUAGCACCUUGUACAUUCCCCUCACAUCCUAUGUCGUACGAUAUUCAGUCUUCGCUGUAAUAUUAUCCCUGCUGAUUGUGCAACGCUCUAGCACAAAGUCAUAUGUGGUGUAAAUGUCAUGUUCCCGUAGUGGAUGCAUAUUACACAAAUGUCACAGCGUAACACCAUUUAUUCGUUUUGUCUGGGUAUCGUAUUGAGCGGCAGGGGAUCCAAAUGCUUGGAGAUUGGGAAGAAUCGAAGAGACUGAUCACGAAACACCCGUUUAAUGGAAUGAUUGUUAAAUCGAUGUCAUCCUCGACAGUCAAUAUAACGUAACACCGGUGUUUUUACAUAUUGCGAUUACGGCAAGCUAAUAUUUAUUGUGACUAAAAAAAAAACUAUGGCACGUUGAAAGAUGUGCAUAGAACAUUCUCUUGCCAAUUGAUAAUUUUCCCAAUGACUAGUCAAGCUGUAUGCGAUAAUAAGAGAAAAUUCCAUCGUUUUGUAGCAUAUAUAUAAUGAAUUCCGCUCUAGUUUAUAAAGCAACUAACAAUAAGUUUAUGCUUCCAGUAUAUUUGUUGAGUAUGCUUGAGCAUAUUGAAUUUAUGAGUGGCUACAUUUAUGAUUUACCUCGGUAAAAGUCAUCAUAGUGGAUGAAUAUAACAGAUUUUACAAGUAUGCGGGUGAAAUGAGGGUGACAACGUUCGCAGCGGCGUAACUUCUGUCAAUGCGAGGUCUGUGAUGUCGCGUGAGGGACAUUUGUUAGAAGUGAAGGAGGCCUAAAGAAACUGAUUCGUUCCCAUACCCAGAAAUAGUGCCUUUUUACUUACACUUCCUUUCUUAAUGUUUUCAUGGAGAAAAUAUGUAUAAUACUAUAAUUGCGCUACACAUAUUUUAUACACACACUCACAGGACAGGUACACACGCGCGCGCGCCACACACACAGACACACAAUAUAUACAUAUACACACAAUAUAUUUAUCCAAUGUAUCUAGUAGAAUUCUCCAAAUAUCACUGUAUUACAUGUUCGAAGGUCCACGUUGUGAUACUGAUAAGCAACCAGUGUUCACAACUCAAAGAGGCACACGAAGUUACGCCAUUAAUUAAUGCAUUGAAUGUUACGAAGAGUGUGAAGAAUGUUGCGAAAUUUGUAUCGCCACAUUGCUGCUAGACGCGUCGAAUUGCGUGUACAACUUUCGACAUAUAACAAAUUAUUACAAUAAUGUUGUGAUCAUAAUUAUAGUGCGUUUGGAAAUUAUCAUUGAUUAUUUUCAUAUUAUUGUUUUGUUUGUUCGCGGACAGUGCAUAUGGCAGCGAUUAUAUUGUGUAAUUGAAUAAGUGAAAGUAAAUAAUAUUUACGAUGUGUAUAUUCCGUAAAGAAAACUGAACUUAUAAUCACCCAAAAAAUUAAUAGCUUAACGAUCGAGUCAAUAGCUCACAACCCAAAGAAAAUGAAAAGACAGUAAUUGAUAAUGGAGCUUAAAGAAAAAAGAAUCUCGGUUAAAAUGUCUUCGUAUAAUUCAAAGGCGGUUGAAUAUAUCGAAGGAGUAAUCUUUUUGGAAGUAACUUUGUUCAAUCUUCGAGAAAAUAUUGCAUUAAAGAUUAGAAAAUUGUUGGUAAAAAUUAUCACGCCCAUUUAAGGUUGUAAUACAUACUUUAAGAGAAGACUUUUUAUAUGUAAAAAUCAUAGAAUCUGAACGUACAAUAUUCCAUUUCAGGUAUCGCCAAUGUUUAUCGCAUAACGUAACACAAUUAUUCUCUAUUAAGAUAUAUACACACACCGCAUAUCCAGAAUGACAUUUUCAACUGGAAAUAUCAUUUUACGUAGCGAAAUACCAAAAUGUAGGAAUGCCUUUUGAUAUGUAUAAAUGUGGAACGCAGGACCAUAAGAUGUAACACCUUUUGCAUACGAUCCGUAUAGAAAGAAAGAAGUGUAUUACUUUUCAUGAAUGUGUAUUAUAUGUUAUUGUAUCUUUGUUGUUUAUCGUCUCUUAUUGUUGUUAUAAUUAUUUUUAUACAUAAAAUUAUUUUUAGUAGUUAGAGACAAAAAGAGAGUGGCUGAUGAGAUGGAGAAAACUUGAAUCACAUUGGAUACAAUAAGAAUAAAUAUAAAGUGGCAGCGCGAAUAAAGAAAGUUAGUUUUAGAGAUGAAA